UUUAAAGAGAGUUUGAUCCUGGCUCAGGACGAACGCUGGCGGCGUGCCUAAUACAUGCAAGUCGAACGAACGGAGGAAGAGCUUGCUCUUCCAAAGUUAGUGGCGGACGGGUGAGUAACACGUGGGCAACCUGCCUGUAAGUUGGGGAUAACUCCGGGAAACCGGGGCUAAUACCGAAUAAUAAGAUGUGGCGCAUGCCACGCCUUUGAAAGAUGGUUUCGGCUAUCACUUACAGAUGGGCCCGCGGUGCAUUAGCUAGUUGGUAGGGUAAUGGCCUACCAAGGCAACGAUGCAUAGCCGACCUGAGAGGGUGAUCGGCCACACUGGGACUGAGACACGGCCCAGACUCCUACGGGAGGCAGCAGUAGGGAAUCUUCCGCAAUGGACGAAAGUCUGACGGAGCAACGCCGCGUGUAUGAAGAAGGUUUUCGGAUCGUAAAGUACUGUUGUUAGAGAAGAACAAGGAUAAGAGUAACUGCUUGUCCCUUGACGGUAUCUAACCAGAAAGCCACGGCUAACUACGUGCCAGCAGCCGCGGUAAUACGUAGGUGGCAAGCGUUGUCCGGAUUUAUUGGGCGUAAAGCGCGCGCAGGCGGU
rnacentral:rRNA from 1 species